GACGAACCGUGCAAACGUUGUUCGGAAUCACUGGGCUUAAAGGGCGCGUAGGCGGGCAAGCAAGUCGAAGGUGAAAUCCCACGGCUCAACCGUGGAAGUGCCCCCGAUACUGCUUGUCUUGAGGGAGAUAGGGGCGUGCGGAACUUCCGGUGGAGCGGUGAAAUGCGUAGAUAUCGAGAGGAACACCUGCGGCGAAGGCGGGUUGCUGGGCUGAUACUGACGCUGAGGCGCGAAAGCCAGGGGAGCGAACGGG
rnacentral:rRNA from 1 species